rnacentral:rRNA from 1 species
GGAGGGAUCAUACCGAGUUUACAACUCCCAAACCCCUGUGAACAUACCUAUUUGUUGCCUCGGCGGUGCCUGUUCCGACAGCCCGCCAGAGGACCCCAAACCCUGAUUACAUUUAAGAAGUCUUCUGAGUAAACCGAUUAAAUAAAUCAAAACUUUCAACAACGGAUCUCUUGGUUCUGGCAUCGAUGAAGAACGCAGCGAAAUGCGAUAAGUAAUGUGAAUUGCAGAAUUCAGUGAAUCAUCGAAUCUUUGAACGCACAUUGCGCCCGCUAGUAUUCUGGCGGGCAUGCCUGUCCGAGCGUCAUUUCAACCCUCAAGCCCCCGGGCUUGGUGUUGGGGAUCGGCGAGCCUCCGCGCCCGCCGUCCCCUAAAUCUAGUGGCGGUCUCGCUGUAGCUUCCUCUGCGUAGUAGCACACCUCGCACUGGGAAACAGCGCGGCCACGCCGUUAAACCCCCAACUUCUGAACGUUUGACCUCGGAUCAGGUAGGAAUACCCGCUGACUUAAG